CCGCCACAACGGCUUCCUGACGUGGUGUGGGCUUAACCAUCGGAGCA
rnacentral:ncRNA from 1 species